rnacentral:tRNA from 1 species
UAGAGAGUGGUAAAAUGGAAUUACGGGAGGUUUUGAUUCUCCAAGUGUAGGUUCGAUUCCUAC